rnacentral:lncRNA from 1 species
AUGGAGGGGCUGCAGAGCAGGGGAGAGAGACCCGAGGGGCUGCUGGAGGGGCGAGGGGUGGAUAAAACCCAUCAGGGAGCGGGGUCGGGCCAUGGCGGGGUGGCAGCCGCCGAGCCGCUGCCCGCUGUGUUGCAGGAACAUCACCGAGAUGAUGACGACCGUCUCCCUGCAGAUCGUGGGCAUCAUCGAGCCGCUCAUCCAGCACGCAGACUGGUUCUUCCCCGGAGACAUCGAGUUCAAUGUCACGGGGAACUACGGCAGCCCCAUGCACGUGAACCACAACGCCAACUACAGCUCCAUGCCCUCCCCGGACAUGGACCACGCCGACCGCAAGCAGCACGACCAGGCGCGGCGGCCGCUCAGCGUGGCCACGGACAACAUGAUGCUGGAGUUUUACAAGAAGGAUGGCAUGGGCGUCAGGGUGAUGGACACCUCGUGGGUGGCCCGCAGAGGCACCUCGGGGGGGCGCAAGGCGUCCGCCACCCCCCCGGCCACGCAGCCCCCCGCGCCGCCCGCCGAGCUGCCCGCCACGCCGCACUCGCCCAUCCCCGAGCAAGCGCCCGAUAUUUCGGCGACCCCCUCUCCUCCUCCCACCAGCUUCGGCUUCCCACCCGCAGCCGAGCGGGCAAGCACUUUAAAGCCCAAGGAGCUCUCCCCCGUCUCUGGGCCGCAGAAGGGCAGCGGGCAGCAGGCAGCGGCCGCGCCACCGUCCCCCGCCGAGCAGAGCCCCCGCAGCCUGCGCAAAGCCUCCAAGAAGCUGGCGCCCAUCCCGCCCAAGGCGCCCUCGGGGGGCACGUCGGAGCCGCCGGCGGGCCAGCCGUCCCCCGCCAGCCUGUCCCCCACCCCACCGAGCACCCCCGCGCCCUAUGGACUCGCUUACCCUCAAGGCUACUGCCUGGCCUCAGGUCUGGUCCAUUUCGAGAUCCCGUCCAUCCACCUCGGCGUCGAUGCUGCCCUGCGCCGGGACCCGCCGGACGCCACGCAGAGACUGUCGGUGAAAGCCCCCCCGGAGGAGGAGGAGGACUCGGAGAGCACGGCCCUAUGACAGCGUCCCCUCCCCGCCCGUCCCCGCGGCACCCGGCCGGCGCUCGGGGGACUUGGUUGCUCCUUGGUUGGGUUGGGUUGGGUUGGGGUCGCCUUAUCCAGACUUUGCCUUGUGACUCGGUGCCUAUGUCCCCCCCGGCAGGCACCCACGUCCCGGGGCACAUCCAGCGUCCCCGCGGUGCCACCGGGGCUGGAGAGGUGCCAGCGGCCCCGUCCUCCCCCCAAAACAGGGCACGGGGGGCACCACGCGGGUGGCGUUGCUCCGGGGUCUCGUCUCUUUGCUUCGGCCCCACCGUGCGCUCGCUGUGGCCGAGCGGGGCUGGGGGAGGCCGGCCCAGCAGCAAUAAGGCAAGUGCUGGGGGGGGCACGCGUCCCCGUGCCCCGCCUGCAGCCCCCGCUCGCUGUCCUCGUGGGUUGGUGGCGUGGAGCAGAGGCUUUGGUUGUGCAUGCAGAGACAAAGUAACCUUUUAUCCUUUUCAGAGAGAUGGUAUAUAUAUAUAUCUGGUGGGCAUAGAUAUAUAUAUAUUAUAUAUUUGUACAUAG